rnacentral:rRNA from 1 species
GACGAACGCUGGCGGCGUGCUUAACACAUGCAAGUCGAACGGAAAGGCCCUGCUUUUGUGGGGUGCUCGAGUGGCGAACGGGUGAGUAACACGUGAGUAACCUGCCCUUGACUUUGGGAUAACUUCAGGAAACUGGGGCUAAUACCGGAUAGGAGCUCCUGCUGCAUGGUGGGGGUUGGAAAGUUUCGGCGGUUGGGGAUGGACUCGCGGCUUAUCAGCUUGUUGGUGGGGUAGUGGCUUACCAAGGCUUUGACGGGUAGCCGGCCUGGGAGGGUGACCGGCCACAUUGGGACUGAGAUACGGCCCAGACUCCUACGGGAGGCAGCAGUGGGGAAUAUUGCACAAUGGGCGGAAGCCCGAUGCAGCAACGCCGCGUGCGGGAUGACGGCCUUCGGGUUGUAAACCGCUUUCGCCUGUGACGAAGCGUGAGUGACGGUAAUGGGUAAAGAAGCACCGGCUAACUACGUG